GACGAACGCUGGCGGCGUGCUUAACACAUGCAAGUCGAGCGGUAAGGCCCUUUCGGGGGUACACGAGCGGCGAACGGGUGAGUAACACGUGGGUGACCUGCCCUCAGCUCUGGGAUAAGCCUGGGAAACCGGGUCUAAUACUGGAUAUGACUCCAUGACGCAUGUUGUGGGGUGGAAAGCCUUGUGCGGCUGAGGAUGGGCCCGCGGCCUAUCAGCUUGUUGGUGGGGUGAGGGCCUACCAAGGCGACGACGGGUAGCCGGCCUGAGAGGGCGACCGGCCACACUGGGACUGAGACACGGCCCAGACUCCUACGGGAGGCAGCAGUGGGGAAUCUUGCGCAAUGGGCGAAAGCCUGACGCAGCGACGCCGCGUGAGGGAUGACGGCC
rnacentral:rRNA from 1 species